UUGGACAUAGUUAAAUUAUAAUACUGGCUUGUCGUGCUUGAGUUAAGAGUGAGUCUCUUUGUCUUAU
rnacentral:tRNA from 1 species